GAAGGAACGUUGAAGACGACGACGUUGAUAGGUCGGGUGUGUAAGUGUAGCGAUACAUUGAGCUAACCGAUACUAAUGAACCGUGAGGCUUAACCUUACAACGCCGAAG
rnacentral:rRNA from 1 species